AAGCUAUGAUGAAGAACUAUCUGUGUACCAGAGACGGUCUCUCAGGAGCUCUGUCUUUGACGGCAAACACAACCCUCUAAGAAGUUCUGAGCUU